ACGCAUACUCACACACACACUCUUGCACACACACACACACACACACACACACACCAGCCCGGCCCAGGAUUAACUCUGGCCUGCCCAGAGUGCUCAGCUCCAGGCAGGAUCUUGAGAAAGGAGAAAAGAGGGCAGGGGAAGUUUCCGGUCUCAGCUCAGUACUAAUCCCUUCACAGUGCCUCUCAACGUUCAAAGCACUUGUGAGUCAGGUGACAAAUGAGGAAACUGAGGCCCGAGAGAAGCAAUCUGCGUUCCCUAAGGAUAACAAGGCCAAUCUGAAGCUAGAACCCAUUUCUCCAGCCCCCAUCCCCCCAGUCUCCACCCUAUCUGUUAGGCCACCCAGAUGUGCAGAGCACUGAAGGACACCCCAUCCUCACCCCAGAGCACCUCCCAGCAGGCUUGCCCUAAAAGCUCCAGCUGAGCCCUUGGCAGACAUCACUAAUCAAUUGGAGCACCCAGGGCUCCAGGCAGACACCACUAGUCAAUCAGAUCUGGCUCCAAAGAAUCAAGGAUGCCUCAGCAUGGCUCAGGGGAGUGACAUCUGCCUGCCCUGCUCCUCACAGUUUAGCACAGCCCCUACACAUUAGCCAGCAUUCAGCCCAUGGUGAAUAAAUGAAUGAAUGAAUGAAUGAAUGAACAAAUGAACACGCAGCCUUUGCCAGAUGCUGGAGCAGGGACCCCAGAUGUGAGAUAUCACAUCUGUACCCUAUGCACACUCCAUGGACAAGUGCAGAAUUCACCCAGAGGACCGACAAACGAAAGAGCCUCAUUCCUCUCCCGAAGUUCCUAGUGCCCCGCCCCCCACCCCCAGAGCCCUGUGACGUCUCCUUCCUUUCGGUGUGAACAGGCAACUCACCCAAGCUCUCUGUGCCUCGGUUGCUCCAUCCAUGAAAUGGGAAUUAUAACUGAACCUGCCUCAAAGGUUGGUGUGGAAAUUCAGGGAGACUUGGUCCAGUGCCUGGUAAGAGCGAGAGCUUCCCCACCCCUCUGGAACAAGCCACACUCCCAGCCAGAGACACAGUGCACUAGGGCAGCUAGAGGCAGGACCCGGAGGUGAGACGUCUGAUUUCCAACCCCAGCUGUGGUCCCAUGUCUUGAACACAGAGCACAUCCCUCCUCUUCUCCAGACCUCAGUUUACCCAUCUGGAAAUUGAGGCUGGGGGUCAAUCUGGUCUCCAGGGCCCUUCAAACUAGCAAUGUUGUCUGCAUCCUUAGGUUCAUUGAUUCACUCAUGCCACAGGUCAGGGCCCACUGUGGACCCGGCCUUUGGCUGGGCCCCUUCGUUGCUGUUCUCGCUGCUAGAAGAUCCCCCCUCUUCCUGGUCUCCAGGUCUCAGCUUCUCACUUCCCAGACCAGCCUUGGACCUUGGACCUGCCCUCCUCCAGCCCUGUCCUUCCAAUCACAGACUUAGCUCUCAGUAUUUUCUGGUCUAUCUAGCUUGUCUGCUUCCCUCUGAAUCGUGGCCUUCUGAAGGCAGAAUCACAUCUUGUUCCCUGACCCAUUCCCAGGGACUCCAGAGAAGGAUUCUGGAAGUAUCUCUCAGGCAAAUGAAAAAUGAAUGAAUGUGUGAAUUCCAAGUUUCUCUCCCACUUCCUCCAACACAACACCCCAAUACAGUUUUUUGCCUAUGGACCCCUUCCCCAAGUUAACCCCCGGGAGCCAACAGGGCAAAUCCCACUGUGGAUCAGGGGCCUUCCUAACCAUGUCCCCUGCCACCAAGCCCGGGUGACCAGAAGGUGUCCACAGACAUAUGUGCACUUGUGAAGUGUUAACUGCUCUGAUGGAGGGCUGACACCACCUGGGGUUUGAUGGGAGCCCAGGUCCCCAGCGGUUCCAUGCCCCAGCUCCAUGCUGCCCCAGCAGACACUUGGUAAAUACUGAGGCAUUAAUUAACUUCCUCCAGGGAGCAGUGACUCUGUGCCAGAUGUAACCUCCCCAGCUCCAGGGGGAAAGGUGAGAUCCCCAACCUUUCUCAGGUGUACAGAGAAAUAAGGCCAGCCCUUCAUCCUUGUCUCGUUUGGGCCUAUUCCCCUUCGUGGGGUGCAGAUCUGAGGGUACCUUCUCCUGACACGUGGGCACAUACAUUCUCACACACAUGCACACACUGGCUGCCCUGAACCUUUAUGCAUCCCAGCAGAAGCCUGGCAUGCAAACCACCCAUUCUAUAAACGUUUGUGAAUUCCUACUAUGUGCCCCCCAAGCCACACCGCUCCCCCGGGCACCAAAUAGUGCAGCUGUUCCAUUGCCUCCUUCAGCAAGGUUUUCCUGACGACAGCUGUGGUGCCUCCCCUUCCCAGCCCACCUCAAAAAAGACCAAGGGUUUUUAUGAAGCUGCACAACUGCUGAGCCCUCCCCAUUAGCCCACUUCUCAGUUCUUGAGAAAGAGGAGAGACAGAGUGUGGGCCCCCAACAGACCCAGAGGAUGGGGCCACCCAGAAGAGGCUGACCACUUCUCAGCUGGCCCCAGUGAAUGAAAGGAACUUCAAAGAUCCCCAAACUCACCUUGUGGGGGACUAGGAGGUGCCACGAGGAGCUGCCCAUGUGAGGGGCCUGGUCCUUCUGCCCCCAACCUGUAGGUGGAAAUCCACCUCCAUCCCUGCCCUGUUUCCCCAUCUGGGCCCCCAGAUUCAUGUUCUGGGGUACAGCUCUGAAUGAGGGGCUGAGGCUGAGACUGACAUUUGCUUCCUUAUGGGCCCUGGUCCCACAGCACUUGGCAGUAAAGCGGUGGGGGUCGAUCAAACCAAGAUCAUAUUCACCAAGAGCUGGGCCCUGAGAACUGGCCUUGGCUCCACUGACAGCGGAAGCUGAUUUGGAGGAACCUCUGGUGAACUCCCACCCUGGAAACAGAUGGGUUUGGGCUCAGAUCUUGACUCCACCCCUUGCUGGUAUGUGACCUCAAGCAAGGUGUGUAAACUCUUAGUUUCCCCCAAUAAACACUGGGCCAUGACAGAAAGAAGACCCCAAAUCAGUGCUGAUAAUAUUUUCUGGAGCUGUGGGCUUGCAGUGUGCCAGACACUGUGGAUCCCAGACUUCACUGUUGCAUACAGAGUCCUCACAGCUGUAAAGCCGGUAAGAGCUCCCAGAUCCCUCUGCAUGCUAGUGAUGUCUCAAAGGUGAACUUCAAACAUAAAUAAAUAAAGUCUUUUUUUUUUUUUUUUUUUGAGACGGAGUCUCACUCUGUUGCCCAGGUUGGAGUGCAGUGGCGCCAUCUGGGCUCACUGCAAGCUCCGCCUCCCGGGUUCACACCAUUCUCCUGUC
rnacentral:lncRNA from 10 species